rnacentral:lncRNA from 1 species
GCUGGCCGUGGUGGCACGCACCUGUAAUCCCAGCUACUCGGGAGGCUGAGGCAAGAGAAUUGCUUGAACCCGGGAGGCACAGGUUGCAGUGAGCCGAGAUAGUGCCACUGCACUCCAGCCUGGCGACAGAGUGAGACUCCGUCUCAAAAAAAAAAAGGAGGAGGAGUCUCCCUCUGUUGCCCAGUCUGGAGUGCAGUGGCACUAUCUCGGCUCAGUGCAACCUCCGCCUCCUGGUUCAAGCAAUUCUUCUGACU